rnacentral:rRNA from 1 species
CCUACGGGAGGCAGCAGUAGGGAAUAUUGGUCAAUGGAGGCAACUCUGAACCAGCCAUGCCGCGUGGAGGAUGAAUGCCCUCUGGGUUGUAGACUCCUUUUAUCUGGGAAGAAACUCCUUGACUUUGUCAAGGCCUGACGGUACCAGAGGAAUAAGCACCGGCUAACUCCGUGCCAGCAGCCGCGGUAAU